UACGGGAGGCAGCAGUGGGGAAUUUUGGACAAUGGGCGCAAGCCUGAUCCAGCCAUGCCGCGUGUCUGAAGAAGGCCUUCGGGUUGUAAAGGACUUUUGUCAGGGAGGAAAUCCCUAGCGUUAAUACCGCUGGGGGAUGACAGUACCUGAAGAAUAAGCACCGGCUAACUACGUGCCAGCAGCCGCGGUAAUACGUAGGGUGCAAGCGUUAAUCGGAAUUACUGGGCGUAAAGCGUGCGCAGGCGGUUGUGUAAGUCUGAUGUGAAAGCCCCGGGCUCAACCUGGGAACUGCAUUGGAGACUGCACAGCUAGAGUGCGUCAGAGGGGGGUAGAAUUCCGCGUGUAGCAGUGAAAUGCGUAGAGAUGCGGAGGAAUACCGAUGGCGAAGGCAGCCCCCUGGGAUGACACUGACGCUCAUGCACGAAAGCGUGGGGAGCAAACAGGAUUAGAUACCCUGGUAGUCCACGCCCUAAACGAUGUCAACUAGCUGUUGGGGGUUUGAAUCCUUGGUAGCGUAGCUAACGCGAGAAGUUGACCGCCUGGGGAGUACGGCCGCAAGGUUAAAACUCAAAGGAAUUGACGGAAGGGC
rnacentral:rRNA from 1 species